CCGCGACCCCAGGUCAGGCGGGACUACCCGCUGAGUUUAAGCAUAUCAA
rnacentral:rRNA from 1 species